AGGGGGAGCCACUGGACAGCACGCCUCACACUGCACAGAACCAGUAUAGAGAGUGGUCGGAUGAUCAGGCCAUCAUCACUCAGGAUGGAGCGUACCGCUCCCCGCCUGUGCGCUCCCCCGUGGCUCGUGACUCACCCAGCUUCCCGGGGAAGACACCUAUGUCUCUAUCAUCGCAGUCAACAUCAGACAACUCCAUGACCCCUCAAGCAGGUAAACACGUGAUGCCGUCACCAUCCGAUGUCACCGCGGCGAUCGACGACGUGCCAUUGCGCCGUCACGUGCGCGGCAACCAAUCAGGAGCGCGUCCGCAGUCAGCGUUUAUCCCGCGU